AUUGAACGCUGGCGGCAGGCUUAACACAUGCAAGUCGAGCGAGCGGCGGACGGGUGAGUAAUGUCUGGGAAACUGCCUGAUGGAGGGGGAUAACUACUGGAAACGGUAGCUAAUACCGCAUACCAUCAGAUGUGCCCAGAUGGGCUUAGCUAGUAGGUGGGGGAAUGGCUAACAUGGGCGACGAUCCCUAGCGGGUCUGAGAGGAUGACCGGCCACACUGGAACUGAGACAGGGUCCAGACUCCUACGGGAGGCAGAAGUGGGGAAUAUUGCACAAGGGGCGCAAGCCUGAUGCAGCCAGGCCGCGUUGGUGAAGAGGGCCUUCGGGUGGUAAAGCACUUUCAGCGAGGAGGCGUUACUCACAGAAGAAGCACCGGCUAACUCCGUGCCAGCAGCCGCGGUAAUUC
rnacentral:rRNA from 1 species